GCAUUUUUCACUUUGGUAGUACGUACACAAAAUUUGGAACAGUGCAGAGAUGAUUAGCAUGGCUAAUUAGGAUGACAUACAGAUUCAUGAAGGGUGACAAAUUUUU